rnacentral:rRNA from 1 species
UACGUAGGCAGCAAGCGUUGUUCGGAAUUACUGGGCGUAAAGAGUGUGUAGGCGGUGCUCUAAGUCUGUUGUGAAAUCUCCCGGCUUAACUGGGAGGGUGCGGCGGAGACUGGAGUGCUAGAGUGUGGGAGAGGUAAGCGGAAUUCCUGGUGUAGCGGUGAAAUGCGCAGAUAUCAGGAGAACACCCGUGGCUAAGGCGGCUCUCUAGUACGGUACUGACGCAGAGCGAAAACGUGGGGGA